UACGUAGGGUGCAGGCGUUACUCGGAAUUACUGGGCGUAAAGCGUGCGCAGGCGGUCUCUUAAGACAGAGGUGAAAUCCCCGGGCUCAACCUGGGAACGGCCUUUGUGACUGCAUAGCUAGAGUACGGUAGAGGGGGAUGGAAUUCCGCGUGUAGCAGUGAAAUGCGUAGAUAUGCGGAGGAACACCGAUGGCGAAGGCAAUCCCCUGGACCUGUACUGACGCUCAUGCACGAAAGCGUGGGGAGCAAACAGG
rnacentral:rRNA from 1 species